AAUAGAUACCCCGGUAGUCCACGCCGUAAACGAUGUCGACUUGGAGGUUGUGCCCUUGAGGCGUGGCUUCCGGAGCUAACGCGUUAAGUCGACCGCCUGGGGAGUACGGCCGCAAGGUUAAAACUCAAAAUGAAUUGACGGGGGCCCGCACAAGCGGUGGAGCAUGUGGUUUAAUUCGAUGCAACGCGAAGAACCUUACCUACUCUUGACAUCCAGAGAACUUUCCAGAGAUGGAUUGGUGCCUUCGGGAACUCUGAGACAGGUGCUGCAUGGCUGUCGUCAGCUCGUGUUGUGAAAUGUUGGGUUAAGUCCCGCAACGAGCGCAACCCUUAUCCUUUGUUGCCAGCGGUUCGGCCGGGAACUCAAAGGAGACUGCCAGUGAUAAACUGGAGGAAGGUGGGGAUGACGUCAAGUCAUCAUGGCCCUUACGAGUAGGGCUACACACGUGCUACAAUGGCGUAUACAAAGAGAAGCGACCUCGCGAGAGCAAGCGGACCUCAUAAAGUACGUCGUAGUCCGGAUUGGAGU
rnacentral:rRNA from 1 species